AUUUAGAUUAUGCAUUUUAUUGAUGGUAUUAUGACGAUUUUAUGAUUAUCUCCAAUUAACUGCAAUAAAAAAAUAGGAUGGCUACCUUUAUCCUUUUAAUUAGAGAAGUUUCAGGAAACAGGUGUUGAUUAUAUAUUGCAGUAUAAUAAUCACAUGAUAAUUAAUAACAGCGGUAUUUAAUGACAGCCUGAUAACAUUUUUAUGAUAUCCCGUUAGUAAAGCAGCUUGAGU
rnacentral:lncRNA from 1 species